AUUGAACGCUGGCGGCGUGCCUAAUACAUGCAAGUCGAGCGAAGCGGCGGAUGGGUGAGUAACGCGUGGGUAACCUGCCCUUAAGUCUGGGAUACCAUUUGGAAACAGAUGCUAAUACCGGAUACUAACGGAUGGACCUGGGAUGCAGUAGCUGGUUGGUAAGGUAACGGCUUACCAAUGCGAUAAUGCAUAGCCGAGUUGAUAGACUGAUCGGCCACAUUGGGACUGAGACACGGCCCAAACGCCUACGGGAGGCAGCAGGAGGGAAGCUUCCACAAUGGCCGAAAGUCUGAUGGAGCAACGCCGCGUGAUUGAAGAAGGUUUUCGGAUCGUAAAGCUCUGUUGUUUGUGAAGCGGUAAGCAACCAGAAAGUCACGGCUAACUACGUGCCAGCCGCCGCGGUAAUUC
rnacentral:rRNA from 1 species